rnacentral:lncRNA from 1 species
AUUCGUUUUACAUGAAGUUCCGACAUGUAGAAUUUUUUUCUCUAGAUCAAAAACGGCGAUCAUUUUGUCAUUGUUUACUGCUAUGGGUACGUCAUAUCCAUAUGAAGAGUGGUGUUGAAAAGGCAACAGAGACUCAAGUUUUUUCUCUCCAUGCUCAUCAAAUAUCAACAACUUGUAACUCCAUGGUUGAUCAUCGCUUUCUCGAAAUCUCGUGAUGACGUAAAGGUUAUCUUCGGCAUCGAUAUCCAUCGCAACAACCUCGCAACUUGGCAAAUCUUCUUGUUUGGAAGGAUCAAAUAUUGUUCGGGAUUCUCCUGAGGGUUUCAAUAUUUGAAGUGAAUCACCUCUCGCUAUUUUCGCAACAACUUCUCUUUUGCUAUUUACAACACAACGAAAUGGAUUAAUACCUUCGGAAAAUGUGUAAUCCAGGUGAAACGGACAAAGAAUAGACACAAAUAUCGUGAUUAUUCGCAUCACGGGGAGAGUUCGUUUCAACGUGAAUACGAUAGAAGAUUUCGACAGGAAAACCGACAUUCCACGUCUUCAAGUGGUUGGCACAAGCGUAGUUAUGAUCGUCACUCGCGGCGCGAUAGGCGAUGAUGUCAUUUCAUUUCUGGAAUCGACUGGAAAAUACUGAAGAAGCUGCCUCAUGUUGGUACAGUCCAGAUCCAAAAUGGGUUUUUAUAUUUAACUGUGCAAUUUUCAAAUGUAUGGGAGUCGAAAUAGGUGGGUGAGAAUUGAGGGGGUGGGUGAAGCAUUGUGUGUGAUGAGACCACUGGAGGUAUUUUACAAUUAAAUUACAGAAACAUUGUCAAUGGUAUUGUAUUUUUAUUUUAAACAAGGGCUAUAGUGUAUUUUAUUAUUUCCAGCUAUAGUUUUUU